GUGGGGAAUAUUGGACAAUGGGGGCAACCCUGAUCCAGCCAUGCCGCGUGAAUGAUGAAGGCCUUCGGGUUGUAAAGUUCUUUUGGAGGGGACGAUGAUGACGGUACCCUCAGAAUAAGCUCCGGCUAACUUCGUGCCAGCAGCCGCGGUAAUACGAAGGGAGCUAGCGUUGUUCGGAAUUACUGGGCGUAAAGGGCGCGUAGGCGGUUUGGUUAGUCAGAUGUGAAAGCCCAGGGCUUAACCCUGGAACUGCGUUUGAUACUGCCAAGCUUGAAUUCGGGAGAGGUGAGUGGAAUUCCCAGUGUAGAGGUGAAAUUCGUAGAUAUUGGGAAGAACACCGGUGGCGAAGGCGGCCCACUGGACCGACAUUGACGCUGAGGCGCGAAAGCGUGGGGAGCAAACAGGAUUAGAAACCCCAGUAGUCC
rnacentral:rRNA from 1 species